CCUGACCUAGAGGUGUUGUAAGUAUGUCUGCUGUGUCACAUGUGUGUUUAUAGGUGGCUGAUGAGAGAAAGUCUAGUCUCUGCUCAGUGUUCUGACCUAUGGACAUCGGAAUAAUUAGUAGUCAAACACU